UACAGAGGUCCCAAGCGUUGUUCGGAUUCACUGGGCGUAAAGGGUGCGUAGGCGGUCGGGUAAAUCUGAUGUGAAAUCUCACAGCUUAACUGUGAAACUGCAUUGGAUACUAUCCGGCUCGAGGAAUGGAGGGGAGACUGGAAUACUUGGUGUAGCAGUGAAAUGCGUAGAUUUCAAGUGGAACACCAGUGGCGAAAGCGAGUCUCUGGACAUUUCCUGACGCUGAGGCACGAAAGCCAGGGGAGCAAACGGG
rnacentral:rRNA from 1 species